UCGUAGAGCAUGUCGGCGUUGAGCAGGUGGACGUGGGUGUCGAUGGCGCCGGCGGUGAGGAUGCGCCCCUCGCCGGCGAGGACCUCGGUGCCGGGGCCGAUCACCAGGUCGGGGUGGACGCCGUCGGCGAUGUCGGGGUUGCCGGCCUUGCCGAUGGCGGUGAUGCGCCCGUUGCGCACGCCGACGUCGGCUCGGACGAUGCCCCAGUGGUCGAGGACGACCACGUUGGUGAUGACGAGGUCCAGUGCCCCCUGUUCGUUGGUCCGGGUGCUCUGCAGCAUCGACUCGCGG
rnacentral:sRNA from 1 species